rnacentral:rRNA from 1 species
AGAGUUUGAUCCUGGCUCAGAACAACGACUGCGGCGAUGCUUAACACAUGCAAGUCGAACGGAUGGCUUCGGCCAUUAGUGGCGCACGGGUGCGUAACGCGUGGGAAUCUGCCCAAAGGUUCGGAAUACCCGGGAAACUCGGGCUAAUACCGGAUGAUGUCGCAAGACCAAAGAUUUAUCGCCUUUGGAUGAGCCCGCGUCGGAUUAGCUAGUUGGUGGGGUAAAGGGCCUACCAAGGCGACGAUCCGUAGCUGGUCUGAGAGGAUGAUCAGCCACACUGGGACUGAGACACGGCCCAGACUCCUACGGGAGGCAGCAGUGGGGAAUAUUGGACAAUGGGCGAAAGCCUGAUCCAGCAAUGCCGCGUGAGUGAUGAAGGCCUUAGGGUUGUAAAGCUCUUUUACCCGGGUAUGAUAAUGACAGUACCGGGAGAAUAAGCCCCGGCUAACUCCGUG